rnacentral:lncRNA from 1 species
UACUUCCUGAAAAUUAAACAAUAGUGGUAAACUGGCAAUCUACAGGCAAGGCACAUAGCAGAGCAAUCUGGCUGCUUCUGAACGACCAUCAACAGGAUUUGCUUCCUUUCAUCUCAUUCGGCUAUGUAACAGAGUGCUUGAAGUACCCCCAGGAAGUUCCUUUAUCCUUGGCAAAAGGGGUUUGUGAGUCUUGAUUUCAAUGCCCUUUUAUGCUACUGACUGUCAAAGGGGUUGCUGUGCAAGUAGUGAAUCUGUAACAGAAAUGACAGCCAUGACAGCCUCAUAGAGCCAGCGUCAAAAAUAUUAGUGAGCAAUUUAGUAGGCCAUCAAGCACAUGAAUAGACUGGGCCUUUUGCCAUGUAUGAUCCAUCUAGGUGGGAAAAUAUUGCAGCAGGAUCAGAGAAAAGAGGGAUGUGAAUUGUGAGACUGCCUCAUGUAAAGGGCAUAAUG